AUUUAAAUAGCUUAAAAAUAAGAGCGUAACAUUGAAGAUGUUAAAGUGAUUUUUUAAAUCUUUAAAUA
rnacentral:tRNA from 1 species